GCACUCUCAGCUUUCUGCCUGGGCUCCUCCUCCCUAAGUCCUAUUCAGACGCUCUCAGGUUUUCAAGCCUCACUUGUUUCAAACCUUCUCACUGGGUCUCAGUCUCUCAAUCUCUCUUCCCUUCUCCCUGUCCCUUUUCACUCAAGCCAGUCCCAUUCCGUGAGAAAGUGGUCCAUCUCCAGUUCCCUUCCCUAGUUCAGUCCUGCCCAUUCACUGUCCCAGCUAAUCAGGACUCUCUUUGCUCUAUGCUCUUAGGUCUUGCCCCAUCCAACCUAUGUUAUCCAACACCCGGGUCCUCCCUGCCAAAGCUUUAGGUCCCGGGGAGAGAUCUCUUUUUAUUUCUCUUCUGACCCUUCUCUCCGGACCUUCUCAGUCCAACCAGAUCGGCUUCUCAGAUUAUGACCUCGCCCCUCCAGGCCAGUCUGGCUACCCUUUUUUCGGUUCUAUCAGGUCUCUUUCUUACAUCUUGCCCGGCUUUCUCCGUUUUCACUGUGCUGCUGAGCCAAGAAACGUUUGUUACGGGUCCCGCUUCCUCUGACGCUCCGCCCCUCCGUUUUGCUCCCAAAGAUCCAACCGAUGAGCCUCAUUUGUGGCUCCGCCUCACCCAGCUAGGCAGUGGUAGAGUAUCAGCCCCUCUCCUCUCCUAGCCCCACCCAACUCCCUCAGGCCAAUCAGUUCGGAUCCUCCCCCACUAAGGCUCUGUCCCUCCAUUCUAGCGUCUCCUCCCAUCCAAUCACGUCGGCCUUUGCCCCUUUCGGGCCCGCCUCCUCCGUCCAUCUUCUCCUCCCACCCAAUCACGU
rnacentral:lncRNA from 1 species